rnacentral:rRNA from 1 species
UACGGAGGGUGCGAGCGUUGUCCGGAAUCACUGGGCGUAAAGGGCGCGUAGGCGGCCUGAUAAGUAGGGGGUGAAAUCCUGCGGCUUAACCGCAGGGCUGCCUUCUAAACUGUCAGGCUGGAGCACAGUAGAGGCAGGUGGAAUUCCCGGUGUAGCGGUGGAAUGCGUAGAGAUCGGGAAGAACAUCAGUGGCGAAGGCGGCCUGCUGGGCUGUUGCUGACGCUGAAGCGCGAAAGCCAGGGGAGCGAACGGG